AAGCCAUGGUUAGGGCACUUUCGGAUAAGAGCUUUGAAGCGGCAAAUGCCUCGUAGAGGGGCUCGUCAUGGCCUUGGAUGAAUUGGAAGAUCUCACUUUUGAGCUU